rnacentral:rRNA from 1 species
UACGUAGGGUCCGAGCGUUGUCCGGAAUUAUUGGGCGUAAAGGGCUCGUAGGCGGUUUGUCGCGUCGGGAGUGAAAACUCAGGGCUCAACCCUGAGCGUGCUUCCGAUACGGGCAGACUAGAGGUAUGCAGGGGAGAACGGAAUUCCUGGUGUAGCGGUGGAAUGCGCAGAUAUCAGGAGGAACACCGGUGGCGGAGGCGGUUCUCUGGGCAUUACCUGACGCUGAGGAGCGAAAGCAUGGGGAGCGAACAGG